CAGGACACAUGAACAUCGACAUUUUGAACGCAUAUUGCGGUCCAUACUGACUAGUUUCUUAACCGAAGCUGUAUGGACCACACAUGGUUGAGGGUCGUUAGUUUAUGCUAACUGAAUUGCCUUUUCAUUAAGGCUACAUCGUGAGGUGUUGUCAAUCUUAAGUGUGUUGACAUCCCUUGAAAAUACCUUUGGUACACAAUUUUUUAUUUAUUGUGAAUGCUUGUUUUGAUCGAAGGAAACUAAUGAUGUUUGUAGAACUUUGAAUAAGCGUUUAAACAUAAUAGUUUACGCAUUUGAACGCAUAUCGAACGCAUCAUCAAGUUUUGGGUAAAUAUUUCUAAAGUUAGUAAAGAAUUUGAACGCCAACAUCGAACGCCAUUUAUUUGGCUUGUAGAAACAUUUGAAUAUACAGCUAGAGCGCUUUAGAAAUUAUUGAAAGUACCACUUCGGUUGAUGACGAUCCCAUACAUUUGAACGCGGGUGGCAUUGACAUUGUAUAAAUUUAAAAUUUGAUUAAAAACCA
rnacentral:rRNA from 1 species